rnacentral:misc_RNA from 1 species
UAAUAAGUGUUUUAUGGCACUUCUUAAAUCCAUAUCCACCUUGUGUGCAAUGCCAGCCGUUUUCUUUAUGAAAAGCGGCCAAAACAUCAAACUUAUUUUUUUAACUGUCUGUUCUGAAAAACUAUUAUGAAUAAACAAUUCAAAUA